UACAGAGGGUGCAAGCGUUAAUCGGAUUUACUGGGCGUAAAGCGUGCGUAGGUGGUUCAGUGUGUCGGUCGUGAAAUCCCCGGGCUCAACCUGGGAACUGCGGCCGAAACUGCUGAGCUAGAGUGUGGUAGAGGGUGGUGGAAUUCCGGGUGUAGCGGUGAAAUGCGUAGAUAUCCGGAGGAACAUCGAUGGCGAAGGCAGCCGCCUGGGCCACAACUGACACUGAGGUACGAAAGCGUGGGUAGCAAACAGG
rnacentral:rRNA from 1 species